rnacentral:sRNA from 1 species
UUCCGCCGAGUCCGCUGCCGAAUGCAAU